rnacentral:lncRNA from 1 species
AUUUUAAGUUCAAAAAGUAGUCUCUGUGCUAAUUCUCAAGUCAAAUGAAGAGGCUCAUUUCUGAUGAUUGCUUAAUCUUUAUUCCCCAAAGAAUCUUUCCACCCUAAAAAAAGUCAAUAGCAUUCUCUACACCAACUUGCCUGCACACGUCUUCUUUGCUUUGUUUCCUUUUUCUUCUGCUCUUAAAAAUCUUCUGGCAUGAAUGAAGCCUGGGAAGCAGCAUGAUUUGAGAUGAAAAGAUUGUAGUCAUCAAUAUAUCUUCUGAAGACACAUUUCUAGUCUCAAAAUUACAUGGAGACAGAAUGGGGUCAGCUCCAGUCUGUUUUUUUCACCUUAACUUAGAGUCUAAAGUUGAGACCACCUGGCACCCUUUCCCAUCAUAUUGUAUCAAAUUUGAAGAGACUUGUUUCCUUCUGGGUAGAACUUCUAUGAAAUCCAGGUGUAGCUUACUUUAGGAUGAACUGGGAGUUUGGGGUUAAUAAAUGCAACUAUUACAUUUAGAAUAGAUAAUCAAUGAGGUCCUACUGUACAGCACAGGGAACUAUGUUCAGUCUCUUGGGAUAGACCAUGAUGGAAUACAGUAUGAGAAAAAGAAUGUAUACGCAUGUAUGCCUGGGUCGCUUUGCUGUACAGCAGAAAUUGGCACAACAUUAUAAAUCAACUAUACUUUAAUCAAAUAAAAAGAAAAGAAUCGAAAAAUUUAUUUUGCUUUGUUUUGAAACUAUGAUUCUCAUAAGGAGCUACCAAGUGGAAUUUAUUCUUUAUAUGUGAAUACUGAAGUCACUAGCAGAACGUGUGAGGGGGCAGAGAUAGAUUUUGAAUAUGCUGUCUAAAUUAUUGAACCAAAAGCCCAGUUUUCAACAUGCUUCAGCAGUCCAACUGUAUGAAGGAGAGGCAUUACACCAUGGUGGAUAAGAGCAUAGACUGGCUUUGAAUCUUGGCUCUCUUUACUGGCUGUGAGACAGCAGUUGAGUUAUUUAAUCUCUUGCCUCGGUUUCCUCAUCUGUAGAAUGGGGAUAAUGGCGCGACCACUGGGGAUAAUGGUGCGACCACUGCCUACACCUACCUCAGAGGGUUCUUGCAACGAUUAAACGAGUUAACAUUUAUAAAGUGCUUAGACUAGUAUCUUAGCACGUAGUAAGAUGUAGUGAAUUGGAUACUGCUAUCACUAUGGAUGUAGGAUCUUCAUGUUAUAAAGACUGAAAGAUAGCUUUUCUGUAAAUAUGACUCAGGAGCUUCCAGAUCGAUCCUUCAGGUCUUAACUUUCUAUUUUAUUGUUUUAAACUUUAUACCAGCAUUUCUUCUGUUUUAUUAAAUGGAGAACGCCUUCUUCCUGAAAACCUCAAUUCCGAUCAUUAUCUGAAAGCCAGAACCGGCAAGUAACACCGUUUGUUGGGAAAAUAUUUUUCAAGAACCAUUUGAUCAUUAAAGUUAAUUGAUAAAUAGAUUAGAGAACAAACAGGAACAUUUGAUAGUUAAAAUAUAGUGUUUUCUGGAUCGUGAUAAGUAUGUGUUGUAAUUCUGUAUGUAAUAGUUUGUAAUUAUGUAUGUACUUAUUAAGCAAUCCUUGCUUUCCCUUUUUUUCCCCCUUUUGUGGCCAUUCUGUGGCAUGUGGAGUUCCCGGGCCAGGGAUCAGAUUUGAGCCACAGUUGCAACGUACACCACAGCUUUGGCAAUGCCAGAUCCUUUAUCCCACUGCACCAGACUGGGAAUUGAGCCUGUGUCCUAGAGCUGCAUAGAUGCCACCAAUCCCCUUGUGCCACAGUGGAAACUCCAAUCCUUGCUUUCCCAAUUAGACCUUAGAGUCCAUGAGGUCAGGGACUAUGUUUUGGUCACCAUUAAAUUCCAGCACCCAGUGCCUGACACAUAGUAGGCAUUCAAAAGUAUUUGUUGUGUAUCCAGAUGGCCAAGUGGUCUAAGGCACAAGAGUCAAAAGUAAUUGUCAAAUGAUGGGACAAUUGCCAAUGAUACAUGGCUUGGUAACAAAAAUGAUACUUUGGAAGUCAUUGUGUUUAUAUAAUAGACUCUUAAGAAAUUCAUGUGUCGUUAAUGGGGUUAUUCAUACUCUUAAUAUUUCUAUUAAGAAAGUUGAAGGCAGACAGAAACUGAGGGAGAUGGAGAGAUUCAUUAGCCUAGCAAAGAGACAGGCUGGAGGGACUGAUUCUAGUCUUCUGAGUCCUAGUCUGGAUCUGUUUCUAGUAAAAUGAAAAGGACUUAUAAAAUCAAGAAAUUCUGCCUUCUCUACUCUUGUUCUUUCUUCUCCUCUGCCAUAGUUCCAUGCUUUGCAUCUCUAGAUGCAGAGAGAAGAAAGGAGAGAAUUUUCAGACAGUUAGCUAGAGUUCUCCUUCUGGAAGAAAGUGAGCAUCAAAGCACAGACUGGCUUCAUAGCCAUGAUUCAGAAUCCUGCCUCUGAGGGGCCAGGUCCUGGUGACAGUUUCUGACAUUCUGAUAAAGUUGGUAUGUGCUGUUAGCCCACAGGCAGGUGUCUUGAACAUCAAAAGACUAGGAUUGGCAAUGACAAUUUAAAAUGAAAGUGGCAUCAUGCUGAAAAAUUACCACGUAUGCAAAUGGAUGACUUUCUAUUUAGCUCCUGAAAAUACUGUACAUAGAAAGACAGUCUUAACCAUCUGGAAACUAUUUUGAGGAAAUUCAAGUUUUGGAGCGCAACUCUAUUAAUGAUUCCCUCUUGUCUUUGUUGUUCUUAUUUCCAUGUUGCCUUGCCCUCAAAUCAGAUCCUAAAACUUGUUUCCUACAAAAUAGCUCCCAACAAAUUUGUAAGCCAGACNNNNNNNNNNNNNNNNNNNNNNNNNNNNNNNNNNNNCUUUCCCCUCUGUUCUCUUUGACUUUCAGACAUUCCUCUGGUUUUGCUCUAAGUUAUGUGUACAUAUCGCAGACCUAAAUGGUCCUGUUUUAUUUUUUUUAACUACUCUUAGCACAUGUGGAGAUGAUUUAGUUCCCGAAAGAGGGUGCUUGGGACGCCUACCUUUUUUUAAUUUUAAUUUUUUUUUACAAAAUUCAAAUCCUAUGGAAUAAGAGAGAGGUUAUUCGGUCUCCUUUAAGGAUAAACCAGAAGCAAAAUCAAAUGAAAUUUAAAAAAAUCAAAUCAUGCCAUUGGAAUAAUGUUCAGUAUCACAGGGAUGAGAAUUUAAUGUUAGAUAAUUUACAAUUAUUACUAUUAUGCCACACAAAACUGUACCCAGGGUGGUUACAUCCGUGGAGAUGUAAUUGUCUUGGACUUGUUGGUGUUGUUUCAUUUCGGUCUCCAUGCUAGAUUAAAAUUCCAUAAAACUGUGAUUAACUAAAAUGCUUGAGGAAUGAGGACUUAUGUUUCAUUUAAUUUUCUGGUUAGCUGUGAGCUAAAGUUUAACCAGAAAUCUCUGGGCUUUAAUCCUUGUUGAACAAUUUUCUAAAAUCAUUUCAUUUCCUUGCAUCAAAAGGAUAGCAUGGUGGAAAAGUCUGUCAUGGGUAGUUAGGAACAUAAGUUCUUAGGGAUCAUUUUCUGACUGUUAUAAAAUGUUACUGGUGGAGAGGUAAAAGGUUGAAAUGAACAUGGAAACUAGCCAAAGACUUGACCCCUGAGGUCAAACAGUUGGUUACCUCUGUCUUUUAAAAGUGGACAAUAAACUGGUAAUUAUUGAGCACCUAUGAUUUACUAGGCCUUAACCAUCCCCUUCAGGAGCCCAUAUUCUGGUGGUGAGAGAAAUGUGCUUACAGAUAAUUACUAUACAAUGUAAUAAGUGCUUAAGAAGGUAUACAGUAAGUGCUACUGUAGCUCAGAGCUGGGAACCAUCAAUGGCUUGAGAAAGUCAAAGGCCUGACCCAGGGGAGGUUGAUGGUCUGGGUCUUGACGCAUGCAUAGGAGUUCAGUAGAGGUGAGCAGGUAGGACAUCCUUGGCACAGGGAGCAGACUUUGAAAUACACAGAGAUGUCAGUGAAGGCUGCCUAUCUUGAGACCUGAUGUGUAUGUCUGUCUGGGUGCCAGAGCAGGAGAAACUGUUGGCACAUGAGUCUGGACAGCAGGCUAGAGCAGACCAAAAAGAGCCAUUUAUCCAGAGUUCCAGUGCUAUUUUAUAUGUAACAUUUAACAAAGGAGUUUUGAAAAUUGGAUUUGUUUUCCAGAAAGAUUAUUCCAGCAAUGGUGGGAGGGAAGCACAGGAAGGAGGAAGAGAUUAUUUUGAUUAACUUGUUAGUAUUUCAAAAAAUAUGGUUUUAUUGACCUGAAUUAUAGCUUGUUAUAUUAUUUUACCUAUAAGUAGGAAAACAUUUCAGUUUUAUUCUUUCAUUUAGAUGCCAUAUUAUUAUUAUCUUCACUUUGAAUAUUGGGAAACUAAGGCACAAUGGGCUUAUGACUUCAAGGUUCUGAAUGGAAACCAUUGAGAAACUGACUGAAAGCCAGGUCCUGAAAUUUCUUCCAGCAAUUGCUAGACCACGGUUCCCACUAUUACAGCAUAUUUAUGAUAUAAUUAACUUUCAGAAAGCCAUAUGGCUUUUGUUAUGAAGACUAAAGGAAUGCGCUUUUCAUAACGAAUGGCAUAUGGCCUCCAAUAGCUCUUUGCUUGCAUGUUUUAGCAAAAUGAACAUGUACAUAAAUUAGAUGCCUCAGGUCAGUUAGCAGGCUGAGGUUGAUUUUCUUCUGCUCUCUCUAAUUACAACCGCAUUUUUGACAAAUAUCAGGGAGGUAUUUUGGCAGCCUGCUGGUGUAAACAUACAUAAUAUGGCUCAGAUGAUCCUUUUUUCUUGUGGCAUGGGCCCUUUAAAGAGGCAGCCCUGGUUUCUUAGUCAUAGUGGAGUGUGCAGCUCUCAGAAGCAGGGCCAUUUCUGAUGAAGCUGCAACGCUUGUGGAAUGCUGGGAAAAUCAUUUGACCGAAGAUGAUAGAAGAGGCAAAAGCAACAACGAAGUGGGUACCAUUGAGCUGAAAGUAGACCUUUGUCUUUGGUCACUUAAGUGAUGCAGGGCUGCUGGAUAUGUGAGAGAGGCUCAUGGGCAGAACGAAUUUAAUAGCAGUGAAGCAUGAGGGCUCACACUACAUCUCUCAGAGUUACUUAGAAGCCUUUCUAUUCAGGGUAACAUGCCUUAAAGUUCUGCCUUCUUGGUUCACACUUGGUUUCUUCUACUGUUGAUUUAGCAGGUUUUUUGAUGGAGUCUGAGAAAGAACUCCUUGCAACUUUCACAUUAUCACAUUAUAAUAUUCACCUCUUAUGAUUUGUACUCAAAGUCAAUGACAUUAUCUCAAUGGAAUUCCCUGGACUCUGAAUUCAUAAGACAGUCCAAAAUGUUCUGCCUGAGAUGGAAAAAUACAGCACAAUUACUGUAAGUCAGUUGGUUCACGAAGGAUCCUAAUUUCAAUUGUAGCUACUCAUCAUGUCGGUAAAUCAUUUGAGUUUCUUUUACAUACGUGUUUAUAUUAUCCUAAUAAUAAAAAUUUUUGUUAGUUAAGUGGAAGUAUAUCAAUUUGAAAAGGAAAAUUAAAACGUAUAUGUUUCUUAAGUAAAGUAAUAAGUCAAAAUGCAUUUUAAUUAAUAUUGAAAUCAUUGAACCCUCCUAUUCAAAGCUUAAUAUUCUAAGAACAAAACCCACAUAAUUUAGGAUAAUUUAUUCAUGAAGAAUAAACCAAAUGUUUUAAAUAAUAAACUUUCAGUGUGUCCUUUUCCCAUCUAAAAUGACUCAUUCAAAUCCUGUUCAUACAAAAAAGGAAAUGUUUGUUAACUUGUAUCCUAAUUCAUCUUCUAUAUUUAUUAUAAUCUAGAUUCCUUUUUUGGACAAGUCAUAGCUUCUCCUUUCAUAAAAUAAUGUCUUCCAUUAUGUUAUAAUUGCAAAGCAUGGACUCAUAGGAUCAAUGAUUCAUAGGGCUGGAUGGAAUAAGCCUUCAGCAAUCAUCUCUGCCUCUAGGGCACCUCUAAACCAUGAAAAACAAGGUGAGUAAGAGACACCUUUAGCCAGAAACAUGGUUUUGGCUAGAUAACGAAAAAGGUAAACCUGGGAACUCUUAAGUGAAGAUUCUUUCUUUCUUUCUUUCUUUCUUUCUUUCUUUCUUUCUUUCUUUCUUUCUUUCUUUCUUUCCUUCCUUCCUUCCUUCCUUCCUUCCUUCCUUCCUUCCUUCCUUCCUCCCUCCCUCUCUUUCUUUCUUUUUUUCUUUCUUUCAGUGAAACUCACCCCAAACUGAUAUAAUUAGAAUAAUAACCCCACCAGAAAACCUGUCUGUGUGAAAGUGUGAAAUGACCUAGAGUCACUUCCUAUUUGAGAAUUGGAUACUAGAAUCUGUAAGCCCCCAGAUAAACAAUGUUUGAGAAUAAAAGCUUCUUCCCUCAACUACUUAAGCAUUAUUUAUUGCAUGCCUGGAAAAAUAUGAACAGUACAUAAGUGCAAGAUUUGUUAACAAAUUAAUCCUACAUAAUCUACAGCAAGCCAAAAAAACAAUUUGGUGGAAAGCAGCAUUAGAAUCAUAAAAACCAAUGGGAAGCUAGCAUAAAAUGUUGUUUUCUUAAAUGUUACAAUUCACUCGGGUUAAGACAAUUCCCAUCUUGCUUGUAGGCUCUAUUCAACUUGGAGAUAGUUGUAUUCGAGGCUAUACUUCAAAAUACUACAACAGUAUGGCUUACUGUGUGCAGAAGUCAGGGCAAAAAUUUUAAGCACACUUAAUCCUCUGGCUGUGUAUAAAAUGGUCCUUUCAGGACUGAGCAAAUGUAGACACAAAUAGAGCAAAUAUGGCUCCCUAAAAUUACCUCGAGUAUUGGGUCAACUUGAAUUUUAUAUUCUAAGAACAUUUUGAUAUGCAAAGACAUAACCAUCUUGCUUCUCCAAAGUUUCAAAUCUUGCACCAAAUUAUUUUAACAAGCAAAUAUGAUUAUAACAUAAAUGAGGGCAAACACCAAAUUGUCUUCCAAGGAAACUGGAUUCUGUUACUCAGAUGUAUGUGUAUGUCUUGUUCUGCUGGGCACCAUAUUGGGUCUGAAUCUUCUAAGGUGGUGUUAGAACCACUUUUGAGGUUGUACGUGCAGAGAGCUGAACUGGAACUGGGGAGACAUAGGAAAGGAAGGGUAGAGGAGGAUUUAUGGAAAGGGAGAGAGGAGAGCAGCCAGGGAGAUGAUGUGAUGCUGGGAAACCACCAAGCAUAAAGGCCGUGAGUGAAAAUCCCAAGUGUUGAGGUGACUGAAGGAUUCUUAAGCACAAGAAUGCUUAAUAUCGAAUGAAAUUGUUUCUGUUUCUGCCAUUGCAAAUGAUUCCGACUCCUCAACUUUUAGGAAAGUCUGUUGUAAACACUCGCGUGUUGAGAACUUUUUUGUUUUUGGAUUGAAAAUGGUGGGAAGACCUCAUUUCCUUAAAGUGGAAUAGGGUCAGCACUAACAGGAAAAGCCAUACAUGAACACAGUAAGCCAAAGCCAGUAUUCAGAGCUAAGGAAGCCCCUCCCUUUCCCCCUCUUCCCGCAAAAGUCUAGAAUUUUUGGAGUAGACUUUGGUCUUCAGUGGCCCAUGGGAUGGAUGUUUGAACCAAGGAGAAAGUAGAUCCCAGCUGAUACUCGGGUUAUAUCCAUACAGUCUGAAAAUACAAUAACUUUUUAAGGGUGGAAGUAGGGGGUGGAAAUUUUUGAUUUCUAGGGCUGCACUUUCUAUCAUAAUGCUCAUUAUCAGCAGCAUAUGAUGCUGUUGGCAUUUUCUUCUACAAACAUACCAGGGAUUUAACAUUUAUUUUGACUUUUUAAGUCAAGUCCAAGCUAGUCAAUUAUGUAGUCUGGUAAACCAAAAGACAUUGCUGAAAUCCGUGGUGAUGGUUUUGAAACUAUUUUGUGCAUUUGCAUUUAUUGGAAGUGUAAUUAUAGGUUGCCUCUCUCUGUAGCAUUUCUCAUGGCACGUAGGGGAAUUUGUUUGUAUGUGGAAAUCUUUAUAGGAAGUAGCGUUGUUGUGUGAGGCUUGCAGACUGGUACCUACAUGUUAGAAAAUGCCCACAUUCUUUGGGUUUAUCAUCACUUAUGAAUAAUGGCCCUGGGCUAUAGUGAGAAAAAGUAUCAAUGACCCUUUCCUUGAACUUCUCUUUUAAAAGAGCAAAUUUCACAUAUGUCUAAAAUGAAGAUGACCUAAUUUUUUAUGUUAGUGUUUUAAUCUACCCACCUCUGUUGUAUUUUGCUCAUUAUUAGUUGCAAGAUAGGCAUGUUUAUAAGUUGAUAAGAGAAAAAGAGAGACCGAAAGAUGAAGAAAAGAAGAUAUAUUUUAAGAUAUGAUAUAGGCAACUUGCCUAACUUCUUUAUUUGGAAAGUCUCUCAUGUUCCAUUUUUAACUAAUAUGCCUCACAUUGCCACAUCUUGAUGUUCUGACAGGGUCUUCAGGAAAAAUCUAUUUGAUGGUGCAACUCCUUGAUGGCAUAUCUUGACAUUUGAGAAUCUUCCAGAAAACAAUGCAGUGUACAAACAGAACAAGUGCCUUGACUACUUGUCUACACUUAGCCAUAACUAUGCUACUCUCAUAGUUAUGGGAAAGGCUGAGAGCCAAGUUCUUGUCUGGCUUUGAAUCUAGUCAAGUCCUUACAUGCUGUGAAGCUUCAGGGCAAAGCUGAAUUUUUCCAAGACUCAGGGAGCCUACUGUUCAGUGAUACAGAAUUAUAUUUCCGAUUUAAAAAAAAGUGACACAGUCAAACUAAUUUUAUGGAAAUCAGAAAUGAAAGCCAGGAGUUCCUGUUGUGGCUCAGUGGUUAAGGGCCCAAUGUUUUCUCUCUGAGGAUGUGGGUUCAAACCCUGGCCUUGAUUAGUGGGUUAAGGAUCUGGCAUUUCUGAAAGUUGUAGUGCAGGCCUGCAGCUGCAGCUCCCGUUUGACCUCUAGCCCAGAAACUUCCAUAUGCCACAGGA